rnacentral:rRNA from 1 species
CAGUAGGGUGCCAUCAAGAGGUGUAUUUGGAAAUAUCCCUAAUCAAAGGAUCAC